rnacentral:rRNA from 1 species
AUUGAACGCUAGCGGCAGGCUUAACACAUGCAAGUCGAGCGAGCGGCGGACGGGUGAGUAAUGUCUGGGAAACUGCCUGAUGGAGGGGGAUAACUACUGGAAACGGUAGCUAAUACCGCAUACCAUCAGAAGUGCCCAGAUGGGAUUAGCUAGUAGGUGGGGUAAUGGCUCACCUAGGCGACGAUCCCUGGCUGGUCUGAGAGGAUGAACAGCCACACUGGAACGGAGACGCGGUCCAGACCCCUACGGGAGGCAGCGGAGGGGAAUAGUGCACAAUGGGAGGAAGCCUGGUUCAGCCAUGCCGCGUGGGUGAAGAAGGCCUUCGGGUUGUAAAGCACUUUCAGCGAGGAAGCGUUACUCGAAGAAGAAGCACCGGCUAACUCCGUGCCAGCAGCCGCGGUAAUUC